UGAAAGCGUUAUUUUUAGAAGGUGAUGAGGAAAAAAUGAAAGUGCAAAAAUGGAAAAACCCGUGGUCCUUAAGGGGUUAAAUGAAAUAAGCAAUCUGAUUGGUUGCUAUGGGCAACUGCACCACUCUGCCUCUGCACAGGUUUUGAUAAAUCUCCCCUCAUAGAGCAUUGUCUGCAGACAAGAGAGGUGCCCCCAUACACCCUUCAUAGUAUGGGUUAUCCUGCCUAUACAGGAGGUUUACACUGGAGCUGCUCACUGAGGUGUAUACUGAGGUCUCUGCUCUUGAAAAAAGCGUCCUUGUGCAAAUUGAGUAUCCACCAAAGUGGUUGUAGAGAAUUCAAUAAUUUUCAGAAAAGAAGAUCCAAGAAAGCUCUGGAGUAGAGUCUUCCUUUUGUAUUGGAGAUGAGGCUUCACAGAACCAGCAGGUUUAAUGCCUAGAGAAGAGUAUAUAGACAUACUAUCCUGCUGCUCACACAUAUUAUAUUCUACUUGACCACUCUGCAGGGAGUCUGUUUUUCAUCU